CUAGUGAUUAGAGAUUUGAGUUCUUAGGUUUGAUUAGAGAUAAGUUUGAGCUAUUCUGAUUUGCAGGAAUGCUCCCACCUUUUACAUUGCAGUCGGAAGAAACACGAGCAUUGGCUAGGCAUUGUACAAUGGGAAUUGAACUUAGGAUUUCUGUUGAAAGGUUGAUUCUUCUUGAUACCCAACCUUUAUUCAGCCCUUCUAUUUAGCUGUGAUGAUUAGACCUGAUGGCUUGUCUUCAGUUUCUGUAUUAAAUGGUGAAUCCUUGUCAGCUAACUUGGCUCAUGAAUUGAUGGGUAUUUAGUUCAGAUACUAAUGCGGUAAACCAGAAACUUUCUUUAAAUCAUUUUGGUGACAGAAGUCUUUGCAUGUGUACAUGCUUCCACUUUAGAUAACUAUUACUUAAAGCAUGGUAAAAGAUGUUGCUUAUGCAUCAUUGAAUUAAUAGAGAUGACCUUUUAUUUUUCUUUCUCUAACUUUUUGGUCCAUGCAAACUUAUUUUUUGGUGAUCUUGUAUAGUCUGGUUUGACCAAACCAAUGAACUUGCCAAUCCAUUGACUAGUCUUUCUUUGAAGACACUUAUUUUUUUAUGCAUGUCUACCAUAUAUCU